rnacentral:rRNA from 1 species
AACGAACGCUGGCGGCAGGCUUAACACAUGCAAGUCGAACGCCCCGCAAGGGGAGUGGCAGACGGGUGAGUAGCGCGUGGGAAUCUACCCAUCCCUACGGAACAACUCCGGGAAACUGGAGCUAAUACCGUAUACGCCCUUAGGGGGAAAGAUUUAUCGGGGAUGGAUGAGCCCGCGUUGGAUUAGCUAGUUGGUGGGGUAAAGGCCUACCAAGGCGACGAUCCAUAGCUGGUCUGAGAGGAUGAUCAGCCACAUUGGGACUGAGACACGGCCCAAACUCCUACGGGAGGCAGCAGUGGGGAACAUUGGACAAUGGGCGCAAGCCUGAUCCAGCCAUGCCGCGUGAGUGAUGAGGGCCUUAGGGUUGUAAAGCUCUUUCACCGGAGAAGAUAAUGACGGUAUCCGGAGAAGAAGCCCCGGCUAACUUCGUGCCAGCCGCCGCCGUAACAC